rnacentral:misc_RNA from 1 species
GAUGAAGAACGUAGCAAAAUGCGAUAAGUAAUGUGAAUUGCAGAAUUCAGUGAAUCAUCGAAUCUUUGAACGCACAUUGCGCCCGCUGGUAUUCCGGCGGGCAUGCCUGUUCGAGCGUCAUUUCAACCCUCAAGCCCCCGGGUUUGGUGUUGGGGAUCGGCUCUGCCCUUCUGGGCGGUGCCGCCCCCGAAAUACAUUGGCGGUCUCGCUGCAGCCUCCAUUGCGUAGUAGCUAACACCUCGCAACUGGAACGCGGCGCGGCCAUGCCGUAAAACCCCAACUUCUGAAUGUUGACCUCGGAUCAGGUAGGAAUACCCGCUGAACUUAAGCAUAUCAAUAAGGAGGA